GGCGGUUCUCGGGUGACGCACCCUGGAAUCAGGCUUCCUCCUCUCUGGUUCCAGGUGCGUAACCUGGCAGCUCCU
rfam:Myotis davidii contig36644, whole genome shotgun sequence.